rnacentral:rRNA from 1 species
GAUGAACGCUGGCGGCGUGCCUAAUACAUGCAAGUCGGGCGAACAGACGAGGAGCUUGCUCCUCUGACGUUAGCGGCGGACGGGUGAGUAACACGUGGAUAACCUACCUAUAAGACUGGGAUAACUUCGGGAAACCGGAGCUAAUACCGGAUAAUAUAUUGAACCGCAUGGUUCAAUAGUGAAAGACGGUUUUGCUGUCACUUAUAGAUGGAUCCGCGCCGCAUUAGCUAGUUGGUAAGGUAACGGCUUACCAAGGCGACGAUGCGUAGCCGACCUGAGAGGGUGAUCGGCCACCCUGGAACUGAGACACGGUCCAGACUCCUACGGGAGGCAGCAGUAGGGAAUCUUCCGCAAUGGGCGAAAGCCUGACGGAGCAACGCCGCGUGAGUGAUGAAGGUCUUCGGAUCGUAAAACUCUGUUAUUAGGGAAGAACAAAUGUGUAAGUAACUAUGCACGUCUUGACGGUACCUAAUCAGAAAGCCACGGCUAACUACGUG